rnacentral:rRNA from 1 species
UAGGGAAUCUUCCGCAAUGGGCGAAAGCCUGACGGAGCAACGCCGCGUGAGUGAUGAAGGUCUUCGGAUCGUAAAACUCUGUUAUUAGGGAAGAACAAAUGUGUAAGUAACUAUGCACGUCUUGACGGUACCUAAUCAGAAAGCCACGGCUAACUACGUGCCAGCAGCCGCGGUAAUACGUAGGUGGCAAGCGUUAUCCGGAAUUAUUGGGCGUAAAGCGCGCGUAGGCGGUUUUUUAAGUCUGAUGUGAAAGCCCACGGCUCAACCGUGGAGGGUCAUGGAAAACUGGAAAACUUGAGUGCAGAAGAGGAAAGUGGAAUUCCGUGUGUAGCGGUGAAAUGCACAGAGAUAUGGAGGAACACCAGUGGCAAAGGCGACUUUCUGGUCUGUAACUGACGCUAAUGUGCGAAAGCGGGAGGAUCAAACAGG